GUGGGGAAUAUUGGACAAUGGGCGAAAGCCUGAUCCAGCCAUGCCGCGUGUGUGAAGAAGGUCUUCGGAUUGUAAAGCACUUUAAGUUGGGAGGAAGGGCAGUAAGUUAAUACCUUGCUGUUUUGACGUUACCAACAGAAUAAGCACCGGCUAACUUCGUGCCAGCAGCCGCGGUAAUACGAAGGGUGCAAGCGUUAAUCGGAAUUACUGGGCGUAAAGCGCGCGUAGGUGGUUCAGCAAGUUGGAGGUGAAAUCCCCGGGCUCAACCUGGGAACUGCCUCCAAAACUGCAUGACUAGAGUACGGUAGAGGGUAGUGGAAUUUCCUGUGUAGCGGUGAAAUGCGUAGAUAUAGGAAGGAACACCAGUGGCGAAGGCGACUACCUGGACUGAUACUGACACUGAGGUGCGAAAGCGUGGGGAGCAAACAGGAUUAGAUACCCGUGUAGUCC
rnacentral:rRNA from 1 species